rnacentral:rRNA from 1 species
UACAGAGGGUGCGAGCGUUAAUCGGAAUUAUUGGGCGUAAAGAGCUCGUAGGCGGUGUGUCACGUCGGCCGUGAAAACCUGCAGCUUAACUGUGGGCGUGCGGUCGAUACGGGCAUCACUGGAGUUCGGCAGGGGAGACUGGAAUUCCUGGUGUAGCGGUGAAAUGCGCAGAUAUCAGGAGGAACACCGGUGGCGAAGGCGGGUCUCUGGGCCGAUACUGACGCUGGAGGAGCGAAAGCGUGGGGAGCAAACAGG